rnacentral:rRNA from 1 species
GAUGAACGCUGGCGGCGUGCCUAAUACAUGCAAGUCGAGCGAACAGACGAGGAGCUUGCUCCUCUGACGUUAGCGGCGGACGGGUGAGUAACACGUGGAUAACCUACCUAUAAGACUGGGAUAACUUCGGGAAACCGGAGCUAAUACCGGAUAAUAUAUUGAACCGCAUGGUUCAAUAGUGAAAGACGGUUUUGCUGUCACUUAUAGCUGGAUCCGCGCCGCAUUAGCUAGUUGGUAAGGUAACGGCUUACCAAGGCGACGAUGCGUAGCCGACCUGAGAGGGUGAUCGGCCACACUGGAACUGAGACACGGUCCAGACUCCUACGGGAGGCAGCAGUAGGGAAUCUUCCGCAAUGGGCGAAAGCCUGACGGAGCAACGCCGCGUGAGUGAUGAAGGUCUUCGGAUCGUAAAGCUCUGUUAUUAGGGAAGAACAAAUGUGUAAGUAACUAUGCACGUCUUGACGGUACCUAAUCAGAAAGCCACGGCUAACUACGUG